rnacentral:rRNA from 1 species
GAUGAACGCUGGCGGCGUGCUUAACACAUGCAAGUCGAACGGAAAGGCCCUGCUCUUGUGGGGUGCUCGAGUGGCGAACGUGUGAGUAACACGUGAGUAACCUGCCCUUGACUUUGGGAUAACUUCAGGAAACUGGGGCUAAUACCGGAUAGGAGCUCCUGCUGCAUGGUGGGGGUUGGAAAGUUUCGGCGGUUGGGGAUGGACUCGCGGCUUAUCAGCUUGUUGGUGGGGUAGUGGCUUACCAAGGCUUUGACGGGUAUCCGGCCUGAGAGGGUGAGCGGCCACAUUGGGACUGAGAUACGGCCCAGACUCCUACGGGAGGCAGCAGUGGGGAAUAUUGCACAAUGGGCGGAAGCCUGAUGAAGUAACGCCGCGUGCGGAAUGACGGCCUUCGUGUUGUAAACCGCUUUCGCCUGUGACGAAGCGUGAGUGACGGUAAUGGGUAAAGAAGCACCGGCUAACUACGUG